UACGUAGGGCGCAAGCGUUGUCCGGAAUUAUUGGGCGUAAAGAGCUCGUAGGCGGUCUGUUGCGUCUGCCGUGAAAACCCGAGGCUUAACCUCGGGCCUGCGGUGGAUACGGGCAGACUAGAGGUAGGUAGGGGAGAACGGAAUUCCCGGUGUAGCGGUGAAAUGCGCAGAUUAUCGGGAGGAACACCGGUGGCGAAGGCGGUUCUCUGGGCCUUACCUGACGCUGAGGAGCGAA
rnacentral:rRNA from 1 species